UACGGAGGGUGCAAGCGUUAUCCGGAUUCACUGGGCUUAAAGGGUGCGUAGGCGGGCAGGUAAGUCCGUGGUGAAAUCUCUGAGCUUAACUCAGAAACUGCCAUGGAUACUAUUUGUCUUGAAUGUUGUGGAGGUAAGCGGAAUAUGUCAUGUAGCGGUGAAAUGCUUAGAUAUGACAUAGAACACCCAUUGCGAAGGCAGCUUACUACACAAAUAUUGACGCUGAGGCACGAAAGCGUGGGGAUCAAACAGG
rnacentral:rRNA from 1 species